ACGAACGCUGGCGGCGUGGAUAAGAAUGCAAGUCGAACGGGACUUUUUCUGGUAGCAAUACCGGAAAAAAGUUUAGUGGCGACGGGUGCGUAACACUUGGGCAAUCUGCCUUAAAGUGGGGGAUAGCUCGGCGAAAGCCGAAUUAAUACCGCAUGUGAUCAGCCAAGACAUCUUGGCGACAUUAAAGCCGGGGCAACCUGGCGCUUUUAGAUGAGCCCCCGCAGCGGCCUAUCAGCUAGUUGGUGGGUGGCGGUAACGGACCUACCAAGGCGGUGACGGGGUAGCUGGUCUGAGAGGACGACCAGCCCACACUGGAACUGAGACACGGUCCAGACACCUACGGGUGGCAGCAGUCGAGAAUUUUUCUCAAUGGGGGAAACCCUGAAGGAGCCGACGGCCGCGUGGAGGAUGAAGGCUUUCGGGUUGUAAACUCCUGUCAUUUGGGAACAAUGCUUACGAGUAACUGCGGUAAGUUGAUAGUACCUAGCAAGAGGAAGAGACGGCUACUCUGUGCCAGCAGCCCGCGGUUAAUACAUAUGGUCUCAAGCAGUUGUUCGGAUUCAUUGGGGCCUGUAAAGGGUGCGUAGGGUGGCGCGCUAAGUCAGGUGUGAAAUUUCGGAGGCUUAACUCCGAAAACUGCAUUUGAUACUGCGUCGUGCUUGAGGACUGGAGAGGAGACUGGUAAUUCAUGGUGUAGCAGUGAAAUGCGUAGAGAUCAUGAGGAAGACCAGUGGCGAAGGGCGGGUCUUCUGGACAGUUCCUGACACUGAGGCACGAAGGCCAGGGGAGCAAACGGGAUUAGAUACCCCGAUAGUCCUGGCAGUAAAACGGUGCACGUUUUGGCUGUGGGAGGAUUCGACCCUCUUCCGCGCCGGAGCUAAACGCGUUAAACGUGCCGCCUGGGGAGUACGGUCGCAAGAUUAAAACUCAAAGAAAUUGACGGGGGCCCGCACAAGCGGUGGAGUAUGUGGCUUAUUCGAUGCAACGCGAAGAACCUUACCUGGCCUUGACAUGCAUCUCUAAGUAGGUGAAAGCCUAUGACUCCCGAAAAGGGAGAAUUUGCCACAGGUGCUGCAUGGCUGGUCGUCAGCUCGUGUCGUUGAGAUGUUGGGUUAAGUCCCGCAACGAGCGCAACCCCUGUGAACUGUUGCUACGGCCCUUGAUUGGACAGGCACUCUGUCAGACUCUGCCCUGUGAAACGGGGAGGAACGGUGGGGGACUGACCGUCAAGUCAGUAUGGCCCUUACGGCCAUGGCUGCACACGUACUACAAUGCUCAGUACAGAACGAUCCGAGACCCGCGAGGUGGAGUGAAAUCUAGUAAAACUGGGCUCAGUUCGGAUUGAAGUCUGCAACCCGACUUCAUGAAGCCGGAAUCGCUAGUAAUGGCGCAUCAGCUACGGCGCCGUGAAUACGUCCCGGGCCUUGUACACACCGCCCGUCACAUCCAUGAAAGUUGCUUGUAGCCGAAGUCGGUGCCACCAACCCGCAAGGGAGGUAACCGCAUACGCUCUAUGAGCAGUAACUGGGAUG
rnacentral:rRNA from 1 species